rnacentral:rRNA from 1 species
AGCGGAGGAGGGGGAAGGCCCUAGGUGCUGUCGCUGUAAGAUGAGCCUGCGUCGAUUAGCUAGUUGGUAGGGUAAAGGCCUACCAAGGCGACGAUCGGUAGCUGGUCUGAGAGGGAGAUCAGCCACACUGGGACUGAGACACGGCCCAGACUCCUACGGGAGGCAGCAGUGCGGAAUCUGCACAAUGGGGGCAACCCUGAUGCAGCGAAUACGCGGCGUGGUAGUGCAUAGAUAGCGUCGCUUGACGGGCAGCUGUGCUGAAGAGCGUCUGACAUGUAUAUAGUGGUUCAGUAGUGGCGGAAAGCGAAUCUAGUUGAGUGUACGUCCAGCGCUAUUUUCAGAAAUGAUACGGUAGGUCAAGUGCGAUGUCGUAUUGAACCGGGGUUAACGCUGAGUGUCUAGGUAAAGGAAAGGUCAAUCC